AUUGAACGCUGGCGGCAGGCCUAACACAUGCAAGUCGAGCGAGCGGCGGACGGGUGAGUAAUGUCUGGGAAACUGCCUGAUGGAGGGGGAUAACUACUGGAAACGGUAGCUAAUACCGCAUACCAUCAGAUGUGCCCAGAUGGGAUUAGCUAGUAGGUGGGGUAACGGCUCACCUAGGCGACGAUCCCUAGCUGGUCUGAGAGGAUGACCAGCCAAACUGGAACUGAGACACGGUCAAGACUCCUACGGGAGGAAGCAGUGGGGAAUAUUGGACAAUGGGGGCAAGCUUGAUGCAGCCAUGCGGCGUGGAUGAAGAGGGCCUUCGGGUUUUAAAGUACUUUCAGCGGGGAGGCGUUACCCGCAGAAGAAGCACCGGCUAACUCCGUGCCAGCAGCCGCGGUAAUUC
rnacentral:rRNA from 1 species